AAAUUAAAUAAAUCGAUCCCCACCUCCGAGAAGUGCACCCCAUCAUCUCUGAAGUACCCUGGUAGCAUGUCCUCUAGUUCCCUGUGCCGAACUACCACCCCUCCCAGCUUCCUCACGAAACUGGCCAUCAACCCGUUAACCUUUUCUCGGCAGCGCCCUAUAGCUGUCGAAACCUGUGCAUGCCGCCAACGAAGCUGGGGAACUAUCUCGGACCAGAACGCGAUCACUGACAUCUGUCGUUACACCACCGCCGGGGACAGGCCUUUUGCCAAUAGCCGGAAAACAUACCAUAGC